CAUCGCCCGGGAACUACGAGCUAAGCUUAAAACCCAAAGGACUUGACGGUACCCCAUAUCCCCCUAGAGGAGCCUGUCCUAUAAUCGAUAACCCCCGCUUAACCUCACCAUUUUUUGCUAAUCAGCCUGUAUACCUCCGUCGUCAGCUUACCACGUGAGCGCUAGUGAGCCCAAUGUUUUUCCAACUAUACGUCAGGUCAAGGUGCAACAUAUAAAAUGGAAAGAGAUGGGCUACACUUUCUACCAUAGAAUAAACGAAAGACUAAAUGAAACCUGGUCAGAAGGCGGAUUUAGUAGUAAAAUGAAACUAGAGCGUUCAUUUAAAUACGGCACUGGGGUGUGUACACACCGCCCGUCACCCUCCUCAACUCUGCGUAAAAGUUUUUAACACCUUUUAGAGAUUCAGAAGAGGCAAGUCGUAACACGGUAAG
rnacentral:rRNA from 1 species